UCCUGUCCAGAAACAAACACAUGGGAGUGUGUUUAGCCAUCUUUCACGAUGCUGUGGCAUCUCAUAACAAGCAUAGGCUUAGAAAACAGCACACUGAAAUAAGAGCCAGUGUGUAUUGGAGCUUUUCCUGUGACACCAACUCUGUGCCUCCAUCUGGCAUGAGGAGCUUGGUGGGAGAGUGGGACAGAAAAGUCUUGUCUGUACUCCAGUGUGGGUGAAUGAGCAUUCCAGGAUAAUCAAUUUUAAUUCCUGUUGAAAUUUGUGAAAAGCCCUUCUGGACUAGAGCCUGUAAGGAGUAUGGUAAUCAACAAAGAAAUUGUGAGUGCUGAGAGGUGAUGGGUGGGCAGCAUUUAAUGAACUCAAACAUAGGAGAACUGCCACUGUGAUUUCAGAGAGGAAUGGUCUCCUUCAGCCAUUACUGCCAGCUGGCAAAGGCUUUGGGAUUCCAGUGAUUUGUUACUUUAGGGACUGUCUGUGAGCAGACUGGAGGGGAUUAUGUACUCUGUUGUGGUGUCUGCUGGGGAACAGCUUGCCUGAAGUGCCUUAGGCUGGUAAGCACCUGAUCAAAAGUCAGCAGGUAGAUGGUGGGAGUGAUCCCUGCUGCAAAGCAGAGCCUAACAUGCAGCUUUCCUUCAUGGUACAGCCCCAAAGCAGUUCCCUUGCUAGCAGCUCAGGGCAGUGAGGUUUUCCCUGGCUUGGAAAGCAGCACAUAGCCUGGCUUAAUACAGCUCAUGGCAGCAGGAUGCUCUUGCCCCUCUUUAGGCCAGAAGGUUGAAAAGAGGCUGGAUUCCAGGCAAUGGAGUGUGGUGGGUGCAGUUAUCAGCAGUGUGUGCUGGGGCUGCAGCACUCCAGUGUGCUGGGGCCCUGCACAGCACCUUGAGCUCAUCAGCCCAUGUGCUCUGUGCCUGGCACACCAUGGCUGGAGGGCUCCUGCUAGAGCAAAAUGGCUCACCUGGCUGGAAAGAUCACCUGGUUUUGUUUUAUUACUUCCACUGUGCUAUAAACGCUCUGAUUCUUGCCUGGAGUCUGAGGAAAGUGACCUGGAGUUCAGUUUCUCAUUUUCCUUGGGAGCUACUUCAGCCACUCUGAGCUCCUGCACCACUUCAGUCUGUGCUGGGCAGAGGCAAUGACAGUGAGUAUACUUCAUCCUGUGAGAUUUGCCGGGGCUUAGAGGUCAACUGACCAAGUGUGACCACUUUGGGAAGCUCUGGCUGGUAGCAAAGGCUCUGCCCUAAGUGCAAAGCCCUUUGGAAGGAGCUGAUAACCCCUUGGCCAGCUGGCUGGCACUUUCCACUAAUACUCUGCCUGCAGUCUGGUGCAAUCUCAUCCUCAUACCCGGUUGGGCUGCAGCCCUUCACCAAAUACUUUUGGGAAGCAUCAUCUCCAAGUUGUUCAUCUUUUUCUGAGAAGAGUGCUGGAGGCUGCUUAGUAAUUUAAAAAUGUCGCAGUUCCCACAGCUGCCUUAUCUGGGAAGUUCUCUGCCUCUUGAUUGUGAGGAGGGGUGGGAGUGUUUUGAAACUUUGGGGGAAAUGAUGUUUGUAAUGAGUGUGCUGUUGAGGAGCCCUGCUAAUAAUCCACUGCUCACCAAGUGAAGCUAUGAAAUCAAAAUAGAAAUUAAGAACAGAGGAUAAAUGGGUGGAGACUAGGACUAGGGAUGAUGCAGGAGCAUGCUGCAUGGCAGAAGGGUCUGUUCCAUGUAUGAAAGGCUAUCUAAGCAUUCUAGCUCUCUUUCGCUGUCACCUGGCCGCAAGGGAAUUUGAUAGCAUGGUACCUGCUGCUGCUGGCCUCUGAGGAGAAAGCAGCUCUUGCACGAGGUUCUGCCAUGUGCUGCCUUUCCAGCCUAGGGAAACUUAGAGCUGCCCAUAGUGGCUGUGGCAGUCACUGGUCAGCACAGCUGAUCUCUGGGAAGGGACCAUCAGCUUCAUUAAGAACUGGCUUUGUCCUUGUGUUUUUGAGAUCCUGCAGAAGGAGAGGGCCUGAGGCUGAUUUUGGGCUGCAGGAGACAUUUUGGUGGAGAUGGAGAAUUGACCUGCAGCCCUGGGUGGAGAGUUUUGUAGCCAGAAGUGCAGGAUGCUGCUGCCUUUGCUGUGAGAGGACAGAAUGGCUUCUGCUUGGGUCUGAAGUGGUCUCCAGCACAAGACCAGCGUUCUUGAGUGAGGAGCAUGUCCCCAGCAGAGAACAAAAUGGCCAAGCCUUGGAAGAGGGAUAGUUUUCCAAUACUUGAUUUUCCUAUAUGAUUGUUAAUUUAAUGGACUUCCAUAUGUUUACAGGGAAAGUGAUCUGACUCUGAGACACUCUAGCCAGCAUGGCUGGCAUAGUCAAAAAAGGGCAAAAUACUUACUGCGUUCCCUGGAAGAUUUUGGCAUUUGAUAUUUAAAUGAAGUGUUUCAAGUGUAAGUUGCAGCAGACACAGCUUUCCUGGUGGAAGUACUUUCCUCUUUGUUCUAGUAAUAUCAUGCACAGGGAAUGCCUAGUUACUGCCCAGGAUUCUUCUUCAGGGAGUAUCUCUACCUUUGCUGUCCAGAGGAUGGUAGAUGGAGGAGCACAGGCCUUUGGACCUGAAGGAUUGCUGCAGCCUAGACAGCUCUUUCUCCAAGAAAAGCUUUCUCCACAGGUGGUUAUACAGUUCUCUAGGCAUGACUGAGUUUAUUUGUUCUAAUGUUUCAUGCCUUAAAUGUGCCUCAGCCAGACCUUGUUCUUUAAAGUCCUAUGUAGUGUAUGGAGAGAAGGGAAUACCUCUUGUGAUCAAUUAAUUCCUGCCUCCUUAGAAGGCUAAGUUAGGAUGUGUCAAGUUGUCUGGAGCAGCCUGCCUCUUCGUGGCUGUAGGAGAACCAGGAUAAGUGGUGUUGCAGGCAACUUGUGUACGAGUCAAAAUAUUGUCUCCCUUACUUCUGUCCUUAAUGUUCUCCCUUCCACAUAAACUCUUCUCUUUGGUCUGGGGCAAAAUCCAUCACAAACCUAUUUUCUGUUGCAAAGUAGUCUUCCUGCUGGAGAUACUUUGUCCUUUGGUAUUUCAGGAAGAACUGCAUGGAUGGAGGCGUUUGGGAGUGUUUUGGAUGUGUUGUGUAUUUCCAGAAAGCUUUACCAAGGGUGACAGUGGGGCUGUGUUUCUAGAGCCACAAGCCCUUCUGCACACCUCCUGGCCUUCUCCCUGGCUGCAGCUCACUGCCCACAGAGAGGGAGGUGGGUGUGUGCCUUAGUCUGUAUUGGUGUACCUGAGUGCACUCCUGCCCGUUUUUAUUUUCCCAGGUUACCAGCAAAAGUAUUUCCUUUCCAUGGCUGCCAUGUUUUGUAUGUUUUGUUGUGGCACCCAUCCUCUCAUUUCUCUCUUCAGUUCAUUAACUGCUUGUAUAGUGUUUUAGCUUCAAGGUAGUGUUAAUUUUGUCCCCUCUGAAUGAUUCUCAGUGAGCUGAAGAGAAGCACCACCUUGGCAGGCUAAAGACUCCUGUUUGGGCCAUCUGCCCCUGCUGUGAGCCAGCUUUGAUUUCAGAGGGUCAAGUCUGUGCAGACCAGCGCAGGUCUCUGCGGAAAUGUCCUGGGCUUGCAGGUCAGGCAGGUGUCAGAGCAGCAGCUGUUUAGUCCCAGCAAAGAUCACUCCAUACUCUAGAGGAAGGGUGUAUUUUUGUUCACACAUCAUGUAAAUACCAGGGAGAGGAGCCAGGAGGUUUCAGGUCUCUGCUCUGAGAGAGGACACAAACUGCAGAGACCAAAGGCUGUGGCUUUGCUGAAAUUACUGGGAAGUUGAAAAUGAAAACACCCUCAUAGUGGAAGCUAACAAGUAUAAUGCAGGACUUGAUCAUAAUGCUUCUGCAAGCAUUUAGUACCUUUGCUAAGGCAAAACUCACUUAAGACAUCUCACUAAUUCAAAAAAAGAUUUCUCUAGUGAAUCAGUCAUUGUUGGAGCAGUCCAGCCACACCUUCUAUUUCCCUGUUUCUGUCCUUGCAAGCAAAUCUUGUCAGGGAGUCCCAAGAAAAUUCUGCUUCCAUGUCUUUAGUGCUGAUGUUUUCUAUCAAUGUGUGUUUUAACAGCUUAAUUUAUAAAUGGGCUGCUUUAGUGAUUCUGGUGUGCUCCUGUGCCUCCUCAAAACAGCUCCUCCUUCCAAGGGGCUGUGGUGUUCAGGAACCUGACAGUUUUUUGCUCCUACUGUUUUUCUUGGAGUUUAUGGUGCAAUUUUUAUUAAAGAUGAUUACUUUUCA